rnacentral:snoRNA from 1 species
CGCAUGAUGCCGCUCUUUGUUCUGCAAUGCCGACCCACGUGAGCGAAAACGACGCCUUGACUACUGGCAACU